rnacentral:tRNA from 1 species
GCCUGGGUGGCUCAGUCAGUUAAGCGCCUGACUUCAGCUCAGGUCAUGAUGUCAUAGUCCGUGAGUUCGAGCCCCUCAUCAGGCU